rnacentral:rRNA from 1 species
UACAGAGGUCUCAAGCGUUGUUCGGAUUCAUUGGGCGUAAAGGGUGCGUAGGUGGCGUCGUAAGUGGGGUGUGAAAUCCCGGGGCUUAACCCCGGGACUGCAUUCCAUACUGCGGUGCUUGAGGACUGGAGAGGAGACUGGAAUUUACGGUGUAGCAGUGAAAUGCGCAGAUAUCAUGAGGAAGACCAGUGGCGAAGGCGGGUCUCUGGACAGUUCCUGACACUGAGGCACGAAGGCCAGGGGAGCAAACGGG